UUUCUUAUAAAGAAGAAAUAUAUUUUCACUAAUGUCAUGUUGAUGUUCCAGUCUCCUGCUGUAGAUUUUACUGUUUGCUGAGAUCUACUUUUUCUUUAAUGAAAUUACCCAUGCUUUUGAAUUUUCAGAAUGCAGUGAAAACUGUAGAGAGUUAGAGUGUUGCUAUUGAGAAAUCUCUUCCUGCUUGAACCUCCCUGUACUGGAAAAAAAUAUCUUGAAAAUUACCAUUCCCACCUUGGGAAGAAUUCGCUGAUUGUUAUGAGGAAAAUGGCCAUAAGCUC